ensembl:lincRNA
CCAGCAGCUUAGCGACAUGCCUGGAAGGAUGUGGCAGACGUGGAUAUGGAGUCAAGGAGAUUGAUAGUUGGAUCCUGAUCAUCUGAUCUACACUGGAACAGGACCACAACUUCCCUGAAGACAAUGCUAUGAGCCAAAAGGGAACAGCCUUGAAAUUGGUAUUGUACCUGUUUCCCUGGUCAUCUUUUACAGGAAGACAAACAUGACCUGUCCUUCUUGCCCUGAAGGAGACAAACAACAACUUCAUCUCAGACAUAGGAGAACUGAGACUGAGAAAAGGAGAAGACUUUUCAAAUCACCUUGAGGGACAGAGGCUGAACCAGAACUCUGGACUCCAUGAGCUGUCAUAAAUCCCCUGAAAACUGUCUUAGACACAGGUAAUGACACUACAGAGAGUCUCUUGCACACAGAAGC